rnacentral:rRNA from 1 species
GAUGAACGCUAGCUACAGGCUUAACACAUGCAAGUCGAGGGACCGGCGCCCGGGUGCGUAACACGUAUCCAACCUGCCCUUUACUCGGGGAUAGCCUUUCGAAAGAACGAUUAAUACCCGAUAUAAAGGAUGGGGAUGCGUUCCAUUAGGUUGUUGGUGAGGUAACGGCUCACCAAGCCUUCGAUGGAUAGGGGUUCUGAUAGGAAGGGACCCCACAGUUGAACUGAGACACGGUCAAAACGACUACGGGAGGCAGAAGUGAGGAAUAUUGGGCAAUGGGCGGUAGCCGGAAACAGCCAAGUAGCGUGAAGGAUGAAGGCUUAUGGGUCGUAAACUUCUUUUAUAGAAGAAUAUGUAUUAUAUGAAUAAGGAUCGGCUAACUCCGUGCCAGCAGCCGCGGUAAUUC